CUGAAAGUGGAUUUUAAAGAAAAAGCAGCUGAUUGGUCCUAUUUUCUCAACUCUCAAGUGGUCAGCAUUCCAGAGGAGGACAAAGAAAAUGCUUCAAAGACUCUCUGAAGCUCUCCCUGAGGCACAGCAGCAUUGAGAUUAAUGACUGGGUGGAGCCUACUACAUUCAAAAUGGUGAAAAUUUAUCCAUCAAACUGCAUCAUAUGCUUUGAAUCAUAACAUCUUACUAAUGUGGCAAAGCAGCAGGAGAGAAGGAAAAGGAAGCAAAUCCUGCACUCUGGAUCCCAUACCUCAUGGGACAUCCUGCCCCAGGUGCCCAAAGAUUUCCUGGUCGGGAAAAGGCUUGUUCAGCCACAUGAGGUCAUGGCAGAAAUUUGCAACCAUGAGUAGACCUCAACUUGGAUCGAGGGACAACCACUGACAGUGAAAUGGCUCAAAGGAAAAAGUGUCCUUUUAUCUGAUCUGAUUCCCGCCAUUGAGAUUGGAAUUGUGCGACACUCAGAGAACUGGGGUAUGAAGAAAGACUGGAGAACUUUAAGAUUUUCAGCUUGAAAAAAGAUGCUGAGGAUGUGGGAGGUGACAUUAAAGAGAUAGACUGUGGCUUGGAGACAGGAGCAUCACGUGACAAGAACACAGGAGAGGAUCGGCGAGGCUUGCGAGAGGGUGGGCUACAGAUUGCAGAAGAGGUGACCAGCAGGAGCGUGGUGCCCAGAUCUAGAUCCAGAUGUGUAAAAGCUUUCAUCACCUCAUGAGGUCUGACUAGGACCUCAAUCUCUCCCAUCAGUGAGGGACCAAAACUGGGCACAGUCUCCUGGAUCUGGCCAUACCAGGGUCUUUUAUAAG